rnacentral:tRNA from 1 species
UCCCAGUUAGUACAAUGGUUAGUAUAGGGCACUCUCAGUUUGCCGCUGACCAGACGGUUAUCUGUCCUGCUCAGAUCAGGGUUCGAUUCCCUGGCCGGGAA